rnacentral:rRNA from 1 species
AUUGAACGCUGGCGGCAGGCCUAACACAUGCAAGUCGAGCGGAUGAAGGGAGCUUGCUCCUGGAUUCAGCGGCGGACGGGUGAGUAAUGCCUAGGAAUCUGCCUGGUAGUGGGGGAUAACGUCCGGAAACGGGCGCUAAUACCGCAUACGUCCUGCGGGAGAAAGUGGGGGAUCUUCGGACCUCACGCUAUCAGAUGAGCCUAGGUCGGAUUAGCUAGUUGGUGGGGUAAAGGCCUACCAAGCCGACGAUCCGUAACUGGUCUGAUAGGAUGAUCAGUCACACGAGAAGUUGGACAGGGUCCAGACUCCUACGGGAGGCAGCAGUGGGGAAUAUUGGACAAUGGGCGAAAGCCUGAUCCAGCCAUGCCGAGUGUGUGAAGAAGGUCUUCGGAUUGUAAAGCACUUUAAGUUGGGAGGAAGGGCAGUAAGUUAAUACCUUGCUGUUUUGACGUUACCAACAGAAUAAGCACCGGCUAACUUCGUG